GUCGAACGGUAACAGGGAGCUUGCUCCGCUGACGAGUGGCGAACGGGUGAGUAAUGCAUCGGAACGUGCCGUGUAGUGGGGGAUAACGUAGCGAAAGUUACGCUAAUACCGCAUACGCCCUGAGGGGGAAAGUGGGGGACCGCAAGGCCUCACGCUAUACGAGCGGCCGAUGUCGGAUUAGCUAGUUGGUAGGGUAAAGGCCUACCAAGGCGACGAUCCGUAGCGGGUCUGAGAGGAUGAUCCGCCACACUGGGACUGAGACACGGCCCAGACUCCUACGGGAGGCAGCAGUGGGGAAUUUUGGACAAUGGGCGCAAGCCUGAUCCAGCCAUGCCGCGUGAGUGAAGAAGGCCUUCGGGUUGUAAAGCUCUUUCAGACGGAAAGAAAUCGGUGUGUCUAAUACACGCACUGGAUGACGGUACCGUAAGAAGAAGCACCGGC
rnacentral:rRNA from 1 species